GGGUAGUUUGACUGGGGCGGUCUCCUCCUAAAGAGUAACGGAGGAGCACGAAGGUUGGCUAAUCCUGGUCGGACAUCAGGAGGUUAGUGCAAUGGCAUAAGCCAGCUUGACUGCGAGCGUGACGGCGCGAGCAGGUGCGAAAGCAGGUCAUAGUGAUCCGGUGGUUCUGAAUGGAAGGGCCAUCGCUCAACGGAUAAAAGGUACUCCGGGGAUAACAGGCUGAUACCGCCCAAGAGUUCAUAUCGACGGCGGUGUUUGGCACCUCGAUGUCGGCUCAUCACAUCCUGGGGCUGAAGUAGGUCCCAAGGGUAUGGCUGUUCGCCAUUUAAAGUGGUACGCGAGCUGGGUUUAGAACGUCGUGAGACAGUUCGGUCCCUAUCUGCCGUGGGCGCUGGAGAACUGAGGGGGGCUGCUCCUAGUACGAGAGGACCGGAGUGGACGCAUCACUGGUGUUCGGGUUGUCAUGCCAAUGGCACUGCCCGGUAGCUAAAUGCGGAAGAGAUAAGUGCUGAAAGCAUCUAAGCACGAAACUUGCCCCGAGAUGAGUUCUCCCUGACUCCCUGAGAGUCCUGAAGGAACGUUGAAGACGACGACGUUGAUAGGCCGGGUGUGUAAGCGCAGCGAUGCGUUGAGCUAACCGGUACUAAUGAACCGUGAGGCUUAACCUUACAACGCCGAAGGUGUUU
rnacentral:rRNA from 1 species